ensembl:lncRNA
CCUUAUGUUGCAUUUGAUAAAAACGACAGUCUUACCCCUCAUGUUUCAUUUGAUUAAAACGACAGUGUUACCCCUCAUGUUUUUUUCCAUGAUGACUGAUGAAAAACAACAGUGUUACCCCUUAUAUUUUAUUUGACAGGGACAAAUAUAUAUUUUUUUCAUGAAAGUUUUUUUUCAUGACGACCGAUAAAAAACGACAGUGUUACCCCUUAUGUUUUUUUCAUGACGACUGAUAAAAAAACAACAGUGUUACCCCUUGUGUUUUUUUUCAUGACGGCCGAUAAAAAACGCGAGUGUUACCCCUUAUGUUUUUUUUCAUGACGACCGAUAAAAAACAACAGUGUUACCCCUUGUUUUUUUUUUUCAUGAAGACCAAUAAAAAACAACAGCGUUACCCCUUAUGUUUUUUUUCAUGACGACCGAUAAAAAACAACAGUGUCACCCCUCAUGUUUCAUCUGAUAAAAACGAUGACUGAUGAAAAACAACAGUGUUACCCCUUAUAUUUUAUUUGACAGGGACAAAUGUAUUUUUAUUUCAUAUGUUUUUUUUCAUGACGACCAAUAAAAUACGACAGUGCUACCCCUUAUAUUUUAUUUGACAAAGACAACAGUGUGACCCCUUAUUCUUUUUUCAUGACAACCAAUAAAAAACAACAGUGUUACCCCUCAUGGUUUUUUUCAUGACGACCAAAGAAAAAUGACAGUGUCACCCUUCAUGUUUCAUUUAAUAAAAACGACAGUGUUCCCCCUUAUGCUUUUUUCAUGACGACCGAUAAAAAACGACAGUGUCACCCCUUAUGUUGCAUUUGAUAAAAACAACAGUCUUACCCCUAAUGUUUCAUUUGAUUAAAACGACAGGUGUACCCCUUAUGUUUAUUUCAUGACGGCCGAUAAAAAACACCGUGUUUUUUAUCAGCCGAUAAAAAGACGGCCGAUAAAAAACAAACGUUUUUUUACCCCUGUCAAUGUUUUUGCAGGGAUCAGAACCUGAGCUGUUUAGAGUAUUAACCUCCAAACUUAUCAAUGCACCAUCAAGACACCGUAUGAAAGCCAACACAAUGGUUAUACUUGACUUUAUAAUUCGCAUGAAGUAGACAUAAGAGUCUUCCAAGAGAUGACAUCAACCGGACUUAAACCACGGUCUCCAGGGGGUUAGGCAGAGUACACUCCACUGCACCACUGAGCCGAUGACAAUUCACAAUGAU